rnacentral:rRNA from 1 species
AGAGUUUGAUCCUGGCUCAGAUUGAACGCUGGCGGCAGGCCUAACACAUGCAAGUCGAGCGGAAACGAGUUAUCUGAACCUUCGGGGAACGAUAACGGCGUCGAGCGGCGGACGGGUGAGUAAUGCCUAGGAAAUUGCCCUGAUGUGGGGGAUAACCAUUGGAAACGAUGGCUAAUACCGCAUAAUGCCUACGGGCCAAAGAGGGGGACCUUCGGGCCUCUCGCGUCAGGAUAUGCCUAGGUGGGAUUAGCUAGUUGGUGAGGUAAUGGCUCACCAAGGCGACGAUCCCUAGCUGGUCUGAGAGGAUGAUCAGCCACACUGGAACUGAGACACGGUCCAGACUCCUACGGGAGGCAGCAGUGGGGAAUAUUGCACAAUGGGCGCAAGCCUGAUGCAGCCAUGCCGCGUGUGUGAAGAAGGCCUUCGGGUUGUAAAGCACUUUCAGUCGUGAGGAAGGUAGUGUAGUUAAUAGCUGUAUUAUUUGACGUUAGCGACAGAAGAAGCACCGGCUAACUCCGUGCCAGCAGCCGCGGUAAUAC